AACGAACGCUGGCGGCAGGCUUAACACUUGCAAGUCGAACGCAUCGCAAGAUGAGUGGCAGACGGGUGAGUAACGCGUGGGCAUCUACCUAGUUCUACGGAACAACAGUUGGAAACGACUGCUAAUACCGUAUACGCCCUAUGGGGGAAAGAUUUAUCGGAAUUAGAUGAGCCCGCGUAAGAUUAGCUAGUUGGUGGGGUAAUGGCCUACCAAGGCGACGAUCUUUAGCUGGUCUGGGAGGAUGAUCAGCCACACUGGGACUGAGACACGGCCCAGACUCCUACGGGAGGCAGCAGUGGGGAAUAUUGGACAAGGGGCGCAAGCCUGAUCCAGCCAUGCCGCGUGAGUGAUGAAGGCCUUAGGGUUGUAAAGCUCUUUCACCGAUGAAGAUAAUGACGGUAGUCGGAGAAGAAGCCCCGGCUAACUUCGUGCCAGCCGCCGCCGUAAAAC
rnacentral:rRNA from 1 species